AGACAAAACUGGUCAAUGAGGUAGAAACUCAAUCGCCCCUGCGAUUUCCCCAAAUGUGGGAAACUCGACUGCAUAAUUUGUGGUACUGGGGGACUGCGUUCGCGCUUGGGGCGCCUG
rnacentral:snRNA from 14 species